ACAGCAGGGCCAGGGGGAUUGCAAGAAGAAGGGUAGGAUCCAGAGACCCAAGUCCAAAAAAGCCGAGUCCUGCACCAUCAAGUGUGUCAACACUUGCAUCCGAGGGGAAGAAGGCCCUCUUAACAUCAGAAGGACCAGACUUUGGGGACGAUGAUUGGGCGUGCUAGGAUGAUUGAAGGUCUUUACUACUUUGAUGAAAUCUCUGUUAGUAAUAAACAAGCUCAGGGCUUGAGUAGUACUAGUUCAAUUCCUGUUCCAGACACAAUUAUGCUAUGGCAUCUUAGACUUGGCCAUCCUAGUUUUGCCUAUUUGAAACAUUUAUUUCCUGAUUUGUUUAAAGGAAUAGAUUAUUUACUUUUUCAAUGUGACAGUUGCAUCUUGGCAAAAAAUCAUCGUUCUACAUAUUUACCAAGACCUUACCAUGCUUCCAAAACUUUUUAUAUAAUUCAUAGUGAUGUUUGGGGUCCAUCCAAAAUUUCUACUCUUUCUAGAAAACGAUGGUAUGUUAGCUUUAUUGAUGAUCAUACACGUUUGUGCUGGAUUUAUUUGAUGCAAACAAAAUUUGAAGUGGAAUACUUAUUUAAAAAUUUUUACACUAUGAUUGAAAAUCAAUUUCAAACCAAAAUUGGUAUUUUACACUCUGACAAUGGCACCGAGUAUUUUAAUGAGCACUUGGGGGAUUUUUUGAAAACAAAAGGUAUUCACCACACAUCUACUUGUCGGAAUACUCCUCAACAGAAUGGCAUUGUUGAACCUAAAAACAAACAUUUACUCAAAGUCGCCCGUGCCAUAAUGUUUUCUAUGCAUAUUCUGAAAUAUUUAUGGGGUGAAGCUGUUUUAACGGCGUCCUAUUUGAUAAACAGGAUGCCCACUAAAGUAUUAAAGUACAAAACCCCCCUUGAGUGCUUGAAAGAAGUGUUUCCCCACACUCGGUUACAUUCGGAUCUUCCUAUCAAAGUUUUUGGAUGUACUGUGUAUGUUCAUAUACCUAAUCACUUUCGUUCCAAACUUGACCCUAGGGCUGUCAAAUGUGUUUUUUGGGGUUAUGUCUCACGUCAAAAAGGCUAUAAGUGUUAUGAUCCUCACACAAAAAAAUUCUUUACCAGUAUGGAUGUUUCGUUUUUUGAAAAACAACCAUAUUUUUCCCAAAAUUCUCUUCAGGGGGAGAAACAUGGAGUUGAAGAUAAUUUUUGGGAUGUUUUUGUCCCACUUCCAAAUGCAAUUUGUCCUACUCAAGAGCCACAUGGUUCUAAUAAUGGUCACUUAGGAGAUUCUGGUUCUCGUUCUAGUUCUUUGGUGCCCAGUGAAAAGGUUUCUCGUACAGGGGGAGAAGUACUACAGACUGACCAUCAUGAUCUGAAUUCCGAGCUUCAGGUUUAUACUAGGCAGAGAUUUCAUCAAAGGAACAAAGACUUGAAUAUCAACUCUGCACAAAACCAGUUUGAAAACCCGAGCAGUGGCACUGUAAGUUCAAGAAAUCCCAUUUCAACUUCUAGUUUACUUCCUUCAACUGUGUCCAAUAGUUCCCCAGUUGAUUCUUCUACUAUUCUUGAUCUCGAUGUUCCUAUAGCCAUUAGGAAAGGUGUCAGAAGUUGCACUAAGCAUCCUAUUGCAAAAUAUCUCUCUUACCAUAGACUAUCAAAAAAUCAUAAAGCUUUCAUAUCUAGAAUUUCACACUUGUUUGUUCCAAGGAAUAUACAGGAAGAUUUGGAUGAUCCGAAUUGGAAAUUAGCAAUCAUAGAGGAGAUGAAUGCUCUGAGGCGAAGUGGCACUUGGGAGAUAGUUUAUUUGCCCUGUAGAACUUUUAGAUCAAAUAGCAAAGCGGUAUGUAAAAUACCUGAAUCGCAGCGGAAUAUCGAAAAUGAUUUGUCUAACAACCUCCGUGGAAGAAAACUAUAAAAGCUUUUUUAUCCGUCCACCCCUUGUUCGUCCAAGGCUCGAAUGGUGAUGCCGAAGACAGUAUAUGAGCGAUUAGAAACUGAUUCUGAUUUUUGUUGUUUUUCCAUUAGCCUCUAUGUCUAUUUAUAGGUAUCACAAAGAUACAGAUAGACAUGGCUUUAUCGGAAUUUGAAUCUCAUUCAAAUUCUAAUUACUUAUCCCAUUAUUGUUAAAAUUCAAAUGUUAAUAAAUUUGAAACAAAUUCAAAUUCAUAACAUUUACCUUUAUCACCAGGGAACUUAUCAUAAUGUAAUCGCAAUUCUAAUAUGCCCAAAGACAAGAAAAUAGUAGGGUGUAAAUGGGUGUUUACAAUAAAGUGUAAGGCUGAUGGAAGUGUUGAUAGGUACAAAGCCAGACUUGUGGCUAAGGGCUUCACCCAGACUUAUGGAAUUGACUACCAGGAGACUUUUGCUUCUGUUGCUAAAAUAAACUCUAUCAGAGUCUUAUUGUCUCUUGUAGUAAAUUCAGAUUGGCCUCUACACCAGCUUGAUGUCAAAAAUGCAUUUCUUAAUGGUGAUCUUGAAGAAGAGGUCUUCAUGAGUUUGCCUCCGAGAUUCGAAAAGAAACUUGGGAGUGACAAAGUAUGGACUGAAGAAAUCCUUGUAUAGUCUCAAACAGUCACCAAAAGCAUAGUUUGAACGUUUUGGAAAGGCAGUUACCAGUUAUGGCUUCCUUCAGAGUCAGGCAGAUCACACUAUAUUUUAUAAACACUCAAAAGUUGGUAAAGUUGUAAUUUUGAUUGUUUAUGUUGAUGAUAUUAUUUUAACUGGUGAUGAUGAGACAGAGUUAGGAACCCUUAAGCUGAAACUUCCGAAGGAGUUCCAAAUUAAGGACCUGGGAAGUCUAAAAUACUUUCUUGGGAUGGAGUUUGCAAGAUCCAAAGAAUGUAUUUUUGUCAAUCAAAGAAAAUAUGUUCUUGAUCUUCUUGGAGAAACAAGUUUGCUCGGUUGCAGGAUGUCGGAGACUCCCAUUGAGCCUAAUGUGAAACUACAGGCUGCUAAAGCUGAUGAAGUGAAGGACAGAGAACAAUAUCAGAGACUUGUGGGCAGGUUAAUCUACUUGUUUCAUACGCGGCUUGAUAUUGCUUUUGUAGUUAGUAUGGCAAGUCAGUUUAUGCACUCACCAGGGCUAGAGCAUUUCGAGGUGGUCUAUAGAAUCCUAAGGUAUCUAAAAGGGACACCUGACAAAGGGUUAAUGUUCAAGAAACAUGGUCACCUGCAAGUUGAGAUUUACAUUGAUGCAGAUUGGGCAGGAAGUGUUAAUGAUAGGAGAUCUACCUCGGGCUACUGUUCUUUUGUUGGGGGUAAUCUAGUCAGCUGGCGAAGCAAAAAACAAAAUGUAGUGGCUAGAAGUAGUGUAGAAGCAGAGUUUAGAGCUGUUGCCCAUGGAAUUUGUGAGGGAAUGUGGAUCAAAUGAAUAUUUGAAGAACUGAAGUUUCCUCAUUCAGUACCUAUAAAAGUCUAUUGUGAUUACAAGGCUACCAUCUCUAUAGCUCAUAAUCCAGUGUUGCAUGACCGUACAAAACAUAUAGAGGUGGACAAACAUUUUAUCAAGGAGAAGAUCGAUGUUAGAGUAAUAUGCAUGCCAUACCUUUCAACAACUGAACAAAUUGCUGAUAUUCUAACUAAGGGUCUUCACAAGAAGCAGUUUGAUAAACUUAUUGGCAAGCUGGCUAUGGACGAUAUCUACAAACCAGCUUGAGGGGAAGUGCUGGAAUUAUGCUCAAUUAAGGCUGAUCUCUAGGAUCAGUGUUUUAUGUAAAUAUUGUGUAAAUAUAGAAAGAGAAUAAUGUAAAUUAGGAUGGUAGGAUGCUGUCUAUUUUUUCUUUCCUUCUUUGCUAAUAAUCCUCUCCUUAUAAGAGGAUAUUGUACACAUUCAUUCAUUAAUUCAAUCAAGACAUUGUCUUUGAUAAUUUCUAAGUUCAUCAAUCUGAAGGAAAGUUAGAACCCAGAUCCAAAAAAUGUGUGUUUGUAGGCUACCAAGAAGGUACUAAGGGAUAUAGGCUAUGGGAUAGGGAUUCAGGUGGAGUUAGGAUAAUCAUUAGUAGAGAUGUUAUAUUCAAUGAAACUAAAUUCCCUUGUAAGAUAACAAACACAGAAAAAUCUAAUGAUAAGAGAAAACUAGAUGAUCAUACUAUUCUAAAGGAUACUCAAAUUUAGGUGGAGCAACCAACUAUAGGAAAUAACAUGUUUGAUGCUCCAGCUAUAUCUGAACCAAAUUUGGGGGAUGUUUCAUCCCCUACUAAUCAUACCUCUGAUCACAUUUCUGAUCAAGAGGAACAAACAGAUGACCCGGAGAUUGAGGAGGAACAAACUAAUGUUCCCCAACAGGAUCUUAGUGACUAUCAACUAGCCAGGGAUAGGAGUAGGAGGGUGGUAAGACCACCCUCUAGAUAUGCUUAUUCAGACUUAGUAUAUUGUGCUUUGGUUGCUGGUUAUGAAUUGAGAGAUAGUGAGCCUUCUACUUAUGAGGAGGCUGUCAACUCUCAAGACAGUGUUAGAUGGCAGCAAGCCAUGGAUGAAGAAAUGGCAUCCCUUGCUGCAAAUAGAACUUGAGAACUUGUUCCCGAAUCAAAAGUUAAUUCAAUUUAAGUGGUUGUACAAAUUAAAGGAAGGUAUGUCACCCUCUAAACUAAUUAAAUACAAAGCAAAGUUAGUUGCAAAGGGUUUUACCCAAAGAGAGGGAAUAGAUUAUAAUGAAAUAUUUUCUCCAGUUGUCAAGUUUAAAACUAUUCGUUUAAUGCUUGUUGUUACUAUUCAUUUUGAUUUAAAAUUUGAACAACUAGAUGUUAAAACUGCCUUCCUGCAUGGUGACUUAGAUGAACAAAUAUAUAUGGUUCAGCCUGUUGGAUAUAUUGAUUCAAUUAAACCUCAGCAUGUUUGUUUAUUAAAGAAAUCAUUGUAUGGCCUAAAACAGUUACCUAGACAAUGGUACAAGAAAUUUGACCAUUUUGUAUCAGAAAUUGGUUUUGUUAGGAGUCAGUAUGAUAUUUGCUUCUAUUUUACCCUUUCAGAUAUUCCCAUCUAUUUGUUGCUAUAUGUAGAUGAUAUUCUGUUAAUUAGCAAAUUCAAGUUCAAAAUCAGUGAAUUAAAAUCUAUGUUAAACAUGAAAUUUGAUAUGAAGGACUUAGGGCAUGCUAAGAAGAUUCUAGGAAUGAAAAUAGAAAGAAAUAGAAGCAAUUUCAGUUUAAAAAUACAACAACAUGAUUACUUGUUAAAAGUUGUGCAAAGAUUUGGAAUGAAUAAUUGUAAAUUUGUAUCGGUCCCUUUAGCUGGUCAUUUUUUGCUUUCUAAAGCCCAGUGUCCCACUUCAAAUUCUGAAAUCAUUAAGAUGAAAAACGUACCUUAUGAAAAUGCAAUAGGAACCAUUAUGUAUUCUAUGAUUAGUACCAGGCUUGACUUUGCUCAUUCAAUUUCCUUACUAAGUAGAUACAUGUCAAACCCUGGGAAACCUCAUUGGGAUGCCUUGAAAUACUUGUUUAGAUAUAUUAAUGGUUCUGUCAACAUUGGUUUGUGUUAUAAAAGAAGAUAUGAUAAUCUUGAUCUUGUGGGAUAUGUAGAUUCAGAUUUUGCAAGUGAUAAAGACUCCAGGAAAUCCACUACAGCUUACUUCUUUACAUUGGGAGGUAACUGCAUCAGUUGGAAGUCACAAUUGCAGCCUCUGGUUACAUUGUCUUCCACUGAGGCAGAGUACGUGGCCAUUACUGAUGCCUUUAAAAAAGCCAUAUGGCUUCAAGGCCUCCUUAGGGAAAUCAAUUUGCUUCAGUGGUGUUCUUGGAUAGUCAAAGUGCUAUCCACUUCUGUAAAAAUCCAGUAUAUCAUGAGAGGACUAAGCAUGUUGAGGUUAAGUAUCACUUUGUCCGAGAACUGGUAACAAAUGGAACUGUGGUUAUUAAAAAGGUUUCAAUCGAGGAUAAUCCAGCUGAUGUGGGGACCAAGACUCUGUCUACAGUCAAGUUCAAGCACUGCUUGGGCUUGCUGCACAUUGAAGUUAGUUGAUUCUUCAAUUGACAAGAGCUAUAAUGGUAAGAAAUUGAAGCAUGCUGCACUAUCUUCUGGGUAUUGGGUUCAUCCUCCUUUUGAUGCUUCAAGGUGGAGAUUGUUGUGGGUGAAGCAUCAAAACGAUGCCAUCUUGAUUGGAGGGUAAAGUUGGCAACCAUCAAGGCUGCAAGCCUUUGCCCGACGCCUUUAUCUAUCCUUUGGCUUUUUUGUUAAUCGUGUUAUACAAUCUCUUUAUGGCCGUCGAUGUUGCCUUUAUCAGAUCUAAUCUCGGCCACUCAAUUUUCAUAUAAAUUCAACAAUGCCUCGAGAUUGUAGGUAGACGGAAAAUAUCGCAGAAAAGAGAAGGGAAAGAGGGAGAUUAAUCGAAGGAGGGUUUCUUGGUGAGAAUAGCUUCCAUUCUUGUUGCAUUCUAUUCUCGUUGUAAUCUCUGGUUCUUAGGUUUGCUUCUAAUCUGUAUUUGAUGAUUGUGAGGCUAUUUUGUUAGAAGAAUCAUUGAUGUACAUUUUGUAUGUUCGGAUUUAAUGUAACCCUACUUGAUAUAGUGCAGUGAGCUUUUUCUUCCUGAGCUCAACGUGGACGUAGUCCAUUUGGGUGAGCCACGGUAAAUUUGUUGUGUCCUCUUUCUAUUUCUGUUCUUCUUUAUGUUCUGGUUUGCUUGCGUUUUUUGAUUGCGUAAGUGUGUUUAAUAUUUUCUGUUCUGCCGAAGCACUUUUGGAUUCUGUAAAGGUUUGUUUAAUUUGGUUUGUUUGAGUCUUCCGCUCGGCUCAACACAUAUAGUCUUGUUUCUAUAUCUCAUGUCUAUGCCCGUACUUGAUACUGUGAGUGAUUGAAAGGUACAUCAUAGUUGAUUCAGAUACUCACAGUUGUUAUAUCAUAUAUAAUUUGACAUGGGCCCACAAGAUUUUUAUUCUUUAUAUUGUUAAGGCUGAUUAAGUGUCUCCCCAUCAGAGGUUACCACAUUUCUAUAGUGAAUGUUAUGCAUGGAAAAUUAAUAACCAAUUCCUUAACCAUAUGCAACAUAUAGCAACAAAUACCAUGUUUCAUAAUAGCAUGAAGAAGGAAGAAAACAGAAGACCACUGGUGGUGUUCAAACAAGGAUUCCGAAGUCGUCAAUACUGGUUGGCCACUUUAUAUUUGGAGCUCAAAGACAAGGGAAAGAAAUGGGUGGAAGAAUGAAUCUUUUUCUGCUUCUUCUUCUACUACUACCACCACCACUACUGGGCAUGGUUAAGAUGGAGUCUGCAGAUUAGCCAUUGCUUGUGCGGAGCUUGCAGACAAGGGAAGAAGGGAAUGAAUACUGGCUUCGUUUAUUGGCUUGCACUCAAUUGUAUUUGAAAUCUAUGGAAUGUACAAAGAAAUAUAUUCAAAUGGCAAACUGAGCAAUGCGUCCUCUUAUGUGCUCUAAGAGAUUUGAUAUGUCAUGAACUUUUCCAAAAUCCCAAGAUGCUUGACUUGCUCAGGGUCCUUCCUAGGCAGUUUGAGGAGUAAAAAGCUUUGUUGAGGCCUCAGUUACUGGUUCAAAAAUUAAUUGUGAUAGUUGGUCAGUGUCCUAGUUACUCCUUCCUGUGAUAGGUCAACCUCAGUAGUCAAUACCCAUGGAAAAGUCUAGACCUGAGUCACUCUAUCCCAUGAUUGUUGACUUGUUCCCAGACUCGUAUCUCCAAAAACAGUUUGCACAUUGUACCAUGUUACAGCAUAUAAAACAUGCAUGACUGAAUCAUGUCAUUCAAUCUUGUGCAAGCCAAAUCAUAUGCGUGAACCACAACAAUGAGACGUGACAAUGUUCUUACCAAAAUAAGAAUGCAGCUAGAGUAAACACCGCAACACAAGCCUCAGCCCUUCACCUUUUGCUCCAACACAGCAAGCAUGACACAACUACUCAGCUGUGCCACACUACAAUACAACAGCAACUUACAGUUGCAACAUCACUUUCAUGCACACACAAGGCAAAGAAUACUGGAGGAAUUCACACAUUCCAACUUUUGCCCUUGUAUGGUCAAGGGGCUGCAUGUUUGGUGAAAGACACUGAACACUCCAUUGGUUGGCUUUGUCUCUUCAGCUUUCCCAGCUCAAAAUCUCGUUUUUCAUUUCUGAGCAAUCCUCCCACUUUUCCAGCACAUUUGUAGCCUCCAACCUUUGUCUCCCAUUUCAUUCAACAUAUACCCUGUUCAUUUCAACUUCAUAGAGUUCUCUUUUUCAGUAGAAUAGCUUGCUUGCUGGUGUAUUUAUGGUGGGUCUUAGAAUAGCUUGAUUUCAUUUGUUUAUGUUCAAGAUGACAAUGACAGGUAUCUAUAAUCUUCUUGUUGCAGUUGCUCUGAAAAAAACACCUUGAAAAGAUCCCCAACUGUUGAGAAAUCUCCUGUGAACAAACACACAGCCAUAAGGCCAAAACCAAGAGAAGUACCAAGAUCCACAAAUAACCAAAACUAAACGAAAGAAAACGAAGAACACAACGCAUAUACGUGUUCGGAUUCGAAAGAAUCCUACUCAUGGCAGAGGUUCCGCCUCUAGUCAAUCCACUAAAAUAAUAAUCAAAAGAUUUACAUAAUACAUGCGCAAGGACAUCACGACCAUCGCAAAUCAGAAACCAAAACAAACAAGGCAAAAUAUACAGAGUACAAUGCUCAAAACCCGAGCAACCUAUGCACUCAAACCUCACCAAUCUCUCCCUCAAACCACCUAAGUGAUUAUGCACUUACUGGGAUUCGAGAUCGGAAAUACCUUGCGUCUUCUUUUUCGUUCUUGGAUCAUCGAGCACCUUCGAGCUCUUCGCGAGCUUCUCCGUUCUGCCCUCUAUCUCUGUGCGCAUUCUUGUUACCCGAUUAGGGCUUCUUUGUGACUGUUGCACACUGAUUUUCCUCCAAAUGCCAGACUUUAUAUACAUGGGCCAAGGGACAUGAAUGGGAAUAACAAGAAAGGGAGCAAGACACGGGCUUGGGCUUGGGCUUGUGGGGCUUUAAAUAAGCAAGCCCAACCCAAAUCAUUUUGAAUCACAAAUAUUAAGAAAUUCCACCUUGAUUCAAGAAUGGAUUAAUAGUGGACUUGACCAGAGACCCCUGCAACUCUCCCAACUACAACAAGAGCACAUUGAACAACGACACAGCUUGCUCAAACUUAUAACUCGAGAUAGACUCGACUAAUACAUGCCUCACUAAGAGCAACAUGAACCUCUAUCAAGACUCCUAUAAACAGGAUAUCAAGGCUAACUCUAGGACUUUCAUUAGACACGGAAAUUUCCUAAGGUUCUACCUUAAGACUGACAAAUUUCCAUCUCAAACUAAAAUCAUAAGUUAGUUCAGGUUCGUCUAAUACUACAAGACCAGGCACACAUCAACAUCUAGACCUACAUCAGUUUUAAAACUUAAUCCUCUUUCUUGUUCAAUAUUUAAAGAUUUUUCACUCCUUAAACUUCUCAAAAGAUUCACUUUUACGCCUAAGGAAGAAUCCCCAAAAUCUCUCCAGAAUAUCCACUAACAAAGAAAGAAAUAUCAGGUCCUAAACAAAAAUUAGGAACUUGGAAUAGCUCCCAAUAAAGAGACAGAGAAAGCAACUUACAACCCAUGGGAAUCAAAACACAAGCAUCUAUGGGAAACUCUAACCCAUACCAUAAAACAGGAUUCAUACAACCCUCUAGGUUACUAACCUAAACAAAUUCAUUCAUGCAUAACAUGCUUAACUCUAGACUCCAAAAAUAAACAGCCCUACCAAUACAUAGAGACUUAACAAUUUACUUAGACUCUUAAGUCAUUCCAUACCUUCUCCUCGGAUUACCUGCCUUCUUUUCUUCUUUCUGUUCUGUCACAUGCUGAAGUUUCCAUGGCCAUUGAACUCUUCAAGUUCCACCUUAAUAGGUGCCAUCUUUGGUUUUGUUCUUUCAAGGAAAAACAAAGAACCAACAAGAAAAAAAAAAAAAAAUACAA